AAAAAGCUGUACGGGUGUUCCUUCUCUUCCGCUGUGCAUUCAACCUCUAAUUUCCUGUUCUCCGGGACUGGAUUGACAGAGGAAAUGUACAGCCAGAGAGAUAAAGGAUCUGAGAUUAUACCGUUAGAACUUGAUCUGGAUAAUGCCAGCGUCUAAGAAUUCAUGCUUUCCCCUCCC
rnacentral:ncRNA from 2 species